CGUGGCGCUUCUGACAAGUGGAGCUUAUGCAGCCCUGCGGGAAGAGUAAGAAACCGGCUGUGGUAAAGUCUCUGGAAAGAAUCCCAGAUCCAAACACGAGUGAAGAACAAAAAUUUAGGGCUCGUUGGUUGUAAGCAACUGAAGUGGGUGGACUAGUUACAACAGAAAAGGAAUUCAUGAGCGCGCGAGAGCCAGAAGGCCAACUUCCGGUUUCCUGGAAGGAGCAGCCCCAGGCUGAGGGCUCCUGGCGGCAGGAACAGAUGGGCUGCCUCCUCUGAUACUACAGCUGGGAUGGGGCAGUUCCAACGACUCCCAGGAUCAAGAAUAAAAUUUUCAGUCUUUAUGUUGCUAGAACCAAGAAUAAACUUCCACUGUCCAGUGGCCUACCUCCAGAGUCACAAGGCAUUCCUUCGGUCGGGGAGACACGGAACUCUGACAGCAGUUCCACGGAUGUGAUCCAGUGCGAGAAACAACAGAGCCGCAUCAGAUGCUUUACAACAGACAUGUGCUGACUACCCGAUCUGAGGGGCUCUGUUCUUUAACCGCAGAAUGCAGCCCAUUUACAUUUAGUAGAAUAUGGUGUUUGCAUUCGGUAGAAUUUUGUAUAACAGCUAAUAAACUUCGUUUGAUACCUUUCA